UCAGGACAAAUCUCUGGCUGCAUGGUUAUUUACACAGGUUGUAGAGGUAGUGCAAGCUGUAAGAUGACCAAUGCUAGGGGGAAGUUAAAUACCCAAUCAAGGGAAUCAAUAUAUUGAAGGCUCAUGGAAAAAGUGCUAGAGACAGCUUUCUGAUGAAUAGUUUUGCUCUAAAUACUGGCCGUGCAGCUCAAGGAAUGCCUCUUAGGGUUGCCCCUGCAAAAAUUGCCUGUCUUGAUUUUAAUCUUCAAAAGACUAAAAUGCAAUUGGGUGUUCAAGUAUUAGUUACUGAUCCCAGAGAGCUUG